UGAGUCAGAGUUGACUGACUGAGAAGCGUGACACAGUACACGUUUACCCAGGUGGAACAAGAAGUAGUUCCCACCAGUCGCAUAUCAUUUGGACCAGAUCCCAAUAGUUCAGCUACUUUCCACUGUAUUCCUGAUAUGUAUUGCCUCAAAUGACUGAAGUGUCAAAAGUAUCGAUAUUUUGUUUUGUGAAUCAAUUCUACAGUGUAAAGAUUUGGUUUCGGAGAUAUUGAUAUUUCAGUAUCAAUCCGCACAUCACUACAAUUCAUGUCAUGUUGAAA